UACGGGGGGGGCAAGCGUUGUUCGGAAUUACUGGGCGUAAAGGGCGCGUAGGCGGCCUUCUAAGUCGAACGUGAAAUCCCCGGGCUCAACCCGGGAACUGCGUCCGAUACUGGAAGGCUUGAAUCCGGGAGAGGGAUGUGGAAUUCCAGGUGUAGCGGUGAAAUGCGUAGAUAUCUGGAGGAACACCGGUGGCGAAGGCGACAUCCUGGACCGGUAUUGACGCUGAGGUGCGAAAGCGUGGGGAGCAAACAGG
rnacentral:rRNA from 1 species